GGCUACUCGAUAGCACAUAGGGCUGAAAUCAACCAUGAUAAAAGGCCGUGUGCUUCUCUAAACCUCUCUGUGAAAGCUGCUACCCCUAAAAACGUUCACCAUCGUAAGCAUAAGAAGCAAUUUAUUGAGCCUGAGCCAUACCAGAAAGGCUUCCCGCCCAAAAGACGCAACCAUUCCUUUGUUCCGGUUUCAUCUUACCCGGCCACUGUAUCUUAUGAUCCUAACACAGUUGCAGAGCAACUAAAGGCUACGGAAGACUUAGUUUCAUUGUAUUUGACGCCUGAGGACGAUUUCACACAGCCACCCCCAUGGAGCAGAAACGGAUGUCUACACAAGCCUAAGAAGGGAUCUAAGAAGAGAUCUAUUGAGCCUGAGCCAUACCAGAAAGGCUUCCCGCCCAAAAGACGCAACCAUUCCUUUGUUCCGGUCUCAUCUUACCCGGCCACUGUAUCUUAUGAUCCUAACACAGUUGCAGAGGUGAGAAACCCUUUUGUA